GCAAGAAAAUCCCAGGAGCUACUUGAUGGCUUCCUUCAUGGGAAUAAAGUUUGUUCCAAGAAGGAGUAGAGACAGUUUUUCCUUGACUUUUAAACAAAGACAAUUUUUUCUAAGUUUCCUUUAAAUCCUGGUGCCAGAGGAAGGGGAAGGAGAAUUAUCACAAGAACAAAAGUCCAGCUGGUAGAAGGAAGAUAAAUAAUUCCUCAUCCCUCAAAACACCUUCUCUGGAGAGAAGGAACUUGUGAAGAGCAGCAGUCACUGGCCAGCCAGGUGCAAUGCAAAUGCUUGCCAGUGUAUUAGAGAGGAGCUGCACAAGGAGAAAGGUUUGCUCAGAGUAGUGGACACAAAGCCAGAGGUGACCUGUGUGCUUCACUCCAACUCAGAAGGGGAUGACUCAGGAACAGGCAGCCCUGUGUAGAAUUACAGCAGGCAGCUGACCAGCACUGUGGGGUUGUGACUGCUGAGAACUCCCACUGAAGAAUGGAUUAAUGAAGGACUGGCAAGUGCAUGCUGCAUACGGAGUUAUACAAGUCCUUUUGAAGGCAGAAUCAGGAACAAAACUGUAUUCUCUAAACUUACUUUUUAGCUGGUUGCCAUUUCACAGCACUGCCUGUAACACUGCAAGUUCAAAGUUUGCAUGGGAUACUUUCAAGCUGUGAGCUGUUAUUCAUAAUGAGUUUUAUGUUUUCAAAAUCUCCUGAUUUUAAGAAAAAAACUCCAUUGCUGCAUUUUAAGAAAAUGACUCCAGGAAGUUCUAUACAUCAAAUAUUCACCUGGGAGACCUUUGCAGUUAAAAUAUUUUCUUCAUCCCCCACCCUGUGGAGGUGCCAGCUGUGCUGGGGGGCAGCAGCUGAGAUGUGAUGCAUGAAGAAUAUGAAGAAUUUCAGUGACCACAGCAGCAGAAAGGAUUCGAGCAUUGCACUGCAAACUGCAGCUGGCAACAGUGGGAUGGGGACUGGAGCAGGUGGACAGAAAAGUCAUCCCCUGUUACACAAAGCAAUGGAUUUCAGCCUGGGCUGAACAGACUGUCAGAAUCCUUGAAGCAGCAGGACCCGGGGCUGUGUAAAGCAGAGAGGAAAUGUGAAGAGUAGUGUAGAUGAGAGGCAAGACAGAGCACUGUGCUCCAGAAGAAUUCAUCUGGCUUCACCUGUCUCCCCCAGAUCAAUAAUUUAGGCAACAGAGCCUGCUCCAUCGCUGUAAAAGUCAUUAAAAAUAACUCCUUUUAAGCCUUCUCUGGUGAGCCUCUGACAGAGCAGCAGCGAGGGUUUGCUGCCUGACAAGUUCUCAGGCCUCCAAAGGGCUGGAAGGUGGAAGAGAGGCACAGCUGAAGGUGUUUAUGUGGGGGUUUCUGGCAGGGAUUUUGUGGGCCCAUCACUCUGAGGGAGCACAGAGGUCACCAAGCUACUUGGAGGAGAAUGGAUGAAGAAUGUUUUUUCAGCAUUUUGACAUUAAGCAAUGUGGCAAAGACUCAAGAAACUUCUUGGCCAAGUCCAACAUCACUGUAGAAUCUGUGUUUGCUUGUAUUGACUUAAUGUGACCUUUGUGAAGAGCUUCACCUUUGUCUCUGAGGCAGUCGCUGUGCAUGAGGGACAGAGCAGGGAUCAAGGUGAGGCUGCACCCUGCUCCCUGCACAAGCUGGCAGGAGAGCAUCAGCUACAGCUCCACGGCUCCCCUCCACUGUGGCUGGGCUCCUGCAUGUGCUCAGCUUAGGAAAAUGUUUCUUGCUGGGAUGGCAAUAAACAGAGCACUGCUAGAGCCACGUGGUGAUGGACGCCUGCGUGUCCACUCAGUGCCGAAGGACAAGCACGACACAAUUUCUUUCAUCCUGGUAUCACCUUUCUGGGUAAGCAGCAGCCCAUGUUUAGCGGGAUGCCAGGAUGACUAAUUCUGCUGCGGACUUCCAAGCACAAGCUCACUGCAAGCCACAGCAGCCUGACAGAAGAAACUAGAAAGAAGAGCUGACUUUCAUGCUUGAGGGCAUAGACAGUGUCACAGGUACUUAUCAGAAGCAUAGAGAGCUGGAGGAAAGAAAAUGUAGUUUCUGCCAAAAGCCUGAAGCAAUCCUAUACUGCUCACAUCCUGGUUUUUUUCUGCUUGGUUUUUGAACCAGUUAUUGAGCCGCACCUACCUUGUAAACCUCCUUCUGCUUUGCUACAUUACAUUACUCUUUCACUCUCCCUGUGAUAAUACUGAAGAUGGUAGACAGCACUUCCCAGUCCACAUGUGCAAUUGCCUCUUCUUGCUGUUUCAUUUUCAGACUGCUCCUUGGGCUGAUUCCCAAGCCAGUGCUCAGGAAGGUCACCAGGUCUCUCACAUCCCCAAGUGUCCCCACUGUUGGCUUCCCACUCCACUUUACCCUCCUCCCUCUGCCUCCAGCUUCUGCUGUCUUUGCUCAGAAAGCUGCUGUGGGGCUGGAAGGCAGCAGGGAGUGGUAAAGGUUUAGCAGGGUGAUGAUGCAGCCCAAACAUUUUUCACCUUUGGAUCUUGUCUCAGAUUUUGGUUAGUCCUGCAAUAGAUGCCAGAUGCCAAGUCACUUCAUUGAUUUGUGUAUAUAGGGCAACAAAGCUUUUCCUUUAUAGCCUGCUUUAGCCUAACUCCAAAAAAAGAGCAAAACCAGCCAUGAACUGCUCUUGCUGUGCAGAGCAGAGCUGGCUGUGUGUCCAUCACUCAGCAGGGGUGCUUGUCUGCACAAGCCAUGCUGCUGGCAGAGGGAUGGGUAGGUGGGACGUCCAGGGAACAACAGAUACAGGAUUAUCCAGAAAAUGGCUGGUGAGAGAUGCUGCAGAGCAUUCAGCACCAUCAGUACAAGAGCACAGUGCUGGCAGGGCUCACUGGCAAGUGCUGCUCUGCUCUCAUGGUCUCCCUGCACAGAUGGUACCAUGGUGGACAGGGAUUCUGUUUCUUACCACAGAUGCAAAGAUUAGGAUUCCCAAAAUGUAGGCGUGUACAGUCAGGACAUUUAAGCACCUGUAUGAUACUCACUCUCAUCACACAGAUGCAUGUGAUGAACACAGAAAAAAACCCAAGUGAUACUUCUGUGUGGUGCACAAAAACAUGAACUUGGUAGGGAUCUGCUGGGAAGUGACACAGUAGUCAUGCUGUAGUCUCAUAUCUGGAGAAUGACUUCUCUUUUUCAAUAGAUGGACUUGGUGCCAGUAGGGAGAAAAAAAUGGAUGCUACAGAUUAAUAAGACACAGAGACUGAUUUUAUUUUGAACCAAAAGUUAAAAUUUAUUUGGAAUAUCAAUAUACCCCCAAAAAAUAAAAAUAAAAACUUCCUUUUAUGUAAUGAAAUAGCCAUUUGAAAAUGGUAAAAUAAAGAUAUUUAUCAUACUAUUCUCUUCUAGUUAUUGUACACAUAUUAAGGUUGUUUUUCUUUUUCUGAAUAUAAAUCUAGCUUGAGCUUUAAGGCUCCAAAAAGCCUAAAGCAUGUAGUGGCCCUUUUGAGAAAGCAGAUAAGUCAAUCAGAGCUGCAUUUUUUCAGCAGACAGGCCUGUUUGAAGCUGUCCAGGACCGGACAGAAGGGAGAUUUCUCAGGAAGGUCACUGUUUCAGGGAAGUAUUAUUUUAUACCCAUUGGGAAAUACACUCUAACCCCUCUUCAUGCAGCAUUUUACAUUAUGA